rnacentral:rRNA from 1 species
CGGGGGGCUGCAGUCGAGAAUAUUCGGCAAUGGGCGAAAGCCUGACCGAGCGACGCCGCGUGCAGGAAGAAGGGCUUCGGCUCGUAAACUGCUUUUUUCAGGGAAGAAUUCUGACGGUACCUGAAGAAUAAGAGGUUGCUAACUCUGUGCCAGCAGCAGCGGUAAUACAGAGACCUCAAGCAUUAUCCGGAUUUAUUGGGCGUAAAGGGUCCGCAGGUGGUCGUGCACGUCGAGGGUUAAAUGUUCGAGCUCAACUCGGACACUGCUUUCGAUACGGCGCGACUAGAGGCCGGGAGAGGUGAGCGGAAUUGCCGGUGUAGUAGUAAUAUGCGUUAAUAUCGGCAAGAACACCAAAUGCGAAGGCAGCUCACUGGAACGCGCCUGACACUCAGGGACGAAAGCGUGGGGAGCGAAAGGGAUUAGAUACCCCAGUAGUC